UACGUAGGGUGCAGGCGUUAAUCGGAAUUACUGGGCGUAAAGCGUGCGCAGGCGGUUAUGUAAGACAGGGGUGAAAUCCCAGGGCUUAACCUUGGAACUGCAUUUGUGACUGCAUAGCUAGAGUACGGUAGAGGGGGAUGGAAUUCCGCGUGUAGCAGUGAAAUGCGUAGAUAUGCGGAGGAACACCGAUGGCGAAGGCAAUCCCCUGGACCUGUACUGACGCUCAUGCACGAAAGCGUGGGGAGCAAACAGG
rnacentral:rRNA from 1 species